CUAGUAAUCGUAGAUCAGCAUGCUACGGUGAAUACGUUCCCGGGUCUUGUACACACCGCCCGUCACACCACGAGAGUUUGUAACACCCGAAGCCGGUGGAGUAACCUUUUAGGAGCUAGCCGUCGAAGGUGGGACAAAUGAUUGGGGUGAAGUCGUAACAAGGUAGCCGUAUCGGAAGGUGCGGCUGGAUCACCUCCUUUCUAAGGA
rnacentral:rRNA from 1 species